rnacentral:rRNA from 1 species
ACAGAGGGCUCGAGCGUUGCGCGGAAUCACUGGGCUUAAAGGGUGCGCAGGCUGGCCCGAAAGCGUCUUGUGAAAGCCCCCGGCUCAACCGGGGAACAGCGGGGCGAACUUCGGGUCUUGAGGCAGGUAGGGGUGACCGGAACGUGUGGUGGAGCGGUGAAAUGCGUAGAUAUCACACGGAACGCCGGUGGUGAAAACGGGUCACUGGGCCUGUCCUGACGCUGAGACGCGAGAGCGUGGGGAGCAAACAG